rnacentral:rRNA from 1 species
CGAUUUAGGUUGCUUAACCGGAGGGGCAUGAGUCUAGCAGAAGGAGGGGAAACGGUCUAAGACAUGGUCAUGUAGGAGAACUUCGAUCCCAAUUCCAGGUCGCUUGAGUUUCUAACUAGAGUCUCGAAUUGCUUUGCGCCGACAGAGAGGGAGAAAACAUGGUGAGUCCGCUUAAUCCCAAUAAUUUAAAGCUGCCAGAGAGAGUUUUUAGGCGGCGGCCGCGGCGGCGGCGGCAGUCGUGAUAGGUUGCUAUCGGCGGCGGCAGUCGUGAUAGGUUGCUAUCGGCGGCGGCAGUCGUGAUAGGUUGCUAUCGUCGAGUUCCUACAUCCAGUAAUGCCUCAGAGUAACGGGCCUCGGCCAUUUAGACAACUUCUCGGACUCGAUACUGACCCAUUAGAAGUCUCCUCAGUAGAAGUAUCCAGAGGUUCUACCGUAACUACUUUGACUAUUAAAGUGGAGAGUAUGAUCAGGUCUAGCACAUACCGACAGAGUCCGAAGUCAAAAACAUCGUGGUACAUUAGUAGUUCUUACAUGUAAACGAUCUUUUAGAACAUACGUCCAAAAGACAUCAAAUGUACUCACCAACAACAUGUUAUAUGUCUACGAACACAACAAGGCUACACUUUCUACACUACAAGAACGUAUCUUCGUAGAUUUAUUUUACAUAAGUCUAUAGAAAACCAACAAUGGCCAUGACUAAAUCGUCCCGUCG